rnacentral:rRNA from 1 species
UACGUAGGGUGCGAGCGUUUAAUCGGAAUUACUGGGCGUAAAGCGUGCGCAGGCGGUUUGUUAAGACAGAUGUGAAAUCCCCGGGCUUAACCCUGGGAACUGCAUUUGUGACUGGCAAGCUAGAGUAUGGCAGAGGGGGGUAGAAUUCCACGUGUAGCAGUGAAAUGCGUAGAGAUGUGGAGGAAUACCGAUGGCGAAGGCAGCCCCCUGGGCCAAUACUGACGCUCAUGCACGAAAGCGUGGGGAGCAAACGAGG